CCUACGGGUGGCAGCAGUGGGGAAUAUUGGGCAAUGGGCGCAAGCCUGACCCAGCAACGCCGCGUGAAGGAAGAAGGCUUUCGGGUUGUAAACCUCUUUUGACAGGGAAGAGCAGAAGACGGUACCUGCCGAAUAAGCCACGGCGAACUAAGUGCCAGCAGCCGCGGUAAUACGGAGGGAGCAAGCGUUGUCCGGAUUUGCUGGGUGUAAAGGGCGUGUAGCCGGGCUGACAAGUCAGGUGUGAAAUCCGGGGGCUCAACCCCCGAACUGCAUUUGAAACUGUUGGUCUUGAGUAGCAGAGAGGCAGGCGGAAUUCCUGGUGUAGCGGUGAAAUGCGUAGAUAUUAGGAGGAACACCAGUGGCGAAGGCGGCCUGCUGGACGACAACUGACGGUGAGGCGCGAAAGCGUGGGGAGCAAACAGGAUUAGAUACCCUUGUAGUC
rnacentral:rRNA from 1 species